rnacentral:rRNA from 1 species
CAGUCGCCGCGGUAAUACGUAGGUGGCAAGCGUUGUCCGGAUUUAUUGGGCGUAAAGCGAUCGCAGGCGGUUAGAUAAGUCUGAAGUUAAAGGCUGUGGCUUAACCAUAGUACGCUUUGGAAACUGUUUAACUUGAGUGCAGAAGGGGAGAGUGGAAUUCCAUGUGUAGCGGUGAAAUGCGUAGAUAUAUGGAGGAACACCGGUGGCGAAAGCGGCUCUCUGGCUUGUAACUGACGCUUAGGCUCGAAAGCGUGGGGAGCAAACAGGAUUAGAUACCCCCGUAGUCCCUGUCUCUUAUACA